rnacentral:rRNA from 1 species
AGUGAACGCUGGCGGUAGGCCUAACACAUGCAAGUCGAACGGCAGCACAGUAAGAGCUUGCUCUUACGGGUGGCGAGUGGCGGACGGGUGAGGAAUACAUCGGAAUCUACUUUUUCGUGGGGGAUAACGUAGGGAAACUUACGCUAAUACCGCAUACGACCUACGGGUGAAAGCAGGGGAUCUUCGGACCUUGCGCGAUUGAAUGAGCCGAUGUCGGAUUAGCUAGUUGGCGGGGUAAAGGCCCACCAAGGCGACGAUCCGUAGCUGGUCUGAGAGGAUGAUCAGCCACACUGGAACUGAGAAAAGGUCCAGAAUCCUACGGGAGGCAGCAGUGGGGAAUAUUGGAAAAAGGGCGGAAGCCUGAUCCAGCCAUAACGCGUGGGUGAAGAAGGCCUUCGGGUUGUAAAGCCCUUUUGUUGGGAAAGAAAAGCGGCAGGUUAAUACCCCGCUGUUCUGACGGUACCCAAAGAAUAAGCACCGGCUAACUUCGUG